rnacentral:rRNA from 1 species
GACGAACGCUGGCGGCGUGCUUCAUACAUGCAAGUCGAACGAGAAGCUAGAGCUUGCUCUAGUGGAAAGUGGCGGACGGGUGAGUAAUAUGUAGGAACCUGCCCUUAGGUUCGGAAUAACUCCUCGAAAGGGGUGCUAAUACCGAAUAAUGUCUUCGGACCAAAGAUUUAUCGCCUUUGGAUGGGCCCGCGUUGGAUUAGCUAGUUGGUGGGGUAAAGGCCUACCAAGGCGACGAUCCAUAGCUGGUCUGAGAGGAUGAUCAGCCACACUGGGACUGAGACACGGCCCAGACUCCUACGGGAGGCAGCAGUGGGGAAUAUUGGACAAUGGGCGAAAGCCUGAUCCAGCAAUGCCGCGUGAGUGAUGAAGGCCCUAGGGUUGUAAAGCUCUUUUACCCGGGAUGAUAACGACAGUACCGGGAGAAUAAGCUCCGGCUAACUCCGUGCCAGCAGCCGCGGUAAUGUGAG